AAUUCCUGUCUGGUAAAGGUUUUGAUAUUCGAUACGGUUUAUAUUAAGUGCGCCCAAUAUUUAUAAAAUGAUAUAACUAGCACAAAUCCAAGGUCAUUUCCGCUCUGAUAAAACUUGUGCAUGUCCCGUUUUGUUUAUGUGUGUUCCUUGCUCCUUAAUGAGAAAUUGGUGAGCGGAAAGAAUGAUAAAAUAGUUUAUUCAAUAGUUUGAAAAGGUAAGCAAUAGUACGGUGGCCCACAAGGGUCACGUCUUCUCCGUGUAAAAUUAUGCAUCGAUGUUACGUGAAAACUAAUCUGCUCGGUAGAAAUUUAGCGCUCUUCUCCGUAUAAGUGCAGUCUUAGGAAGCCAUUUUUAGCAUUUUAAGACAGUUUUUGAACAAUUGAAAAAGUCGUUUGGUCAAAAUUGACCAAAAUGGUAAGGGGUGGUUGCAAGGCCAACGCCAUCCAGAAUAUGCAGUCCUAAUCAUUUUGUUCUAUUAUUGCUAGCCAAGGAACUGCCAACGAUGUCAUUUAUUGUUAUCAGUUAACUGGACUUUGUGAGAGUUUUCUUGCAAAAUGUUUGCCAAGGUGGCGAUCGAAGGUGGACAGCAAGAUCGAAGCUCAGCAAGAUUGAAGAUUGUUCGAGGAAGAAGGAGUUCGCCGUUGACUAAAAGGUUUAUCUGAACAGCUAGUUGUCAAGAUGAAUGUGAAGACUCGCCCGGCCAAAUUCAAAAUGGCGAUGCCAAA